rnacentral:rRNA from 1 species
UACGGGGGGGGCAAGCGUUGUUCGGAAUUACUGGGCGUAAAGGGCUCGUAGGUGGCCAACUAAGUCAGACGUGAAAUCCCUCAGCUUAACUGGGGAACUGCGUCUGAUACUGGAUGACUUGAGUUUGGGAGAGGGAUGCGGAAUUCCAGGUGUAGCGGUGAAAUGCGUAGAUAUCUGGAGGAACACCGGUGGCGAAGGCGGCAUCCUGGACCGACACUGACACUGAGGAGCGAAAGCCAGGGGAGCAAACGGG